UUUUUUUUCCUUCGUCACUCUGGUUUCUUUUCUCAUCUUCUUAUUAUUAUUCUUCAUUCUUUCUUUUUCUUCACGCGAUGAUGGCAGAGAUGGCAGAGGGCUUCGAUUUCAGUUGUGAUUUGUGUUUUAAUCGGGUUAAGAUGUGCUUUUUGGGCUUGGAGUUGUGGAUUUUGUGAGGUGUUGGUGGAUCUGCUAUGGUCGAUGGGUUUGAUUUUUGGUGAUUUGUACUGUGGUGGAUGCAAUGGCAGUGGGUUGGAUAUUUGAGAAUUGCAAUUGGUGGGUUUGUGGGUUGUUGGAGGUGGUAGAGGCCGAAAAUGGGAGGAGAAAGGUUUCAAUGUUUCAGGCUUCGUGAAAGAGGAGAGGAAAAAAAAUGAAAGAGAUGGAGGAGUGAGACAUGUUACCGUUCUGAUCUGCACAGUACAUGGGCUCCACCACUUUGUCAAAAUUUUGGGUUAAACUCACCCAGAUUUGAAACCAAACAAAAACAAGAUAGAAUUAAGGGAAAAGUAGAGAUGGAGAUAUGAGAUAUGAAAAAUGAGUUUGAGUGAUGAGAAAUGAGAUUUGAGAAUUGAGUUUUGAGUUAAGAGUAAACCAAACAGGGCCUCAGUUUCUCUGCAAAAGCGACUCGGCAACGCUGCAACAGCCACACCCAGAGCAGUCGACGGCGAGAUCGGAGAUUCCCUUGCCCAGAUCGGAGAUUGGCGACGGCGAGAUCGGCAUAAGAACCUCAAGCAACAUCAAGGUUCUUCAACUAUGCCCAGAGAUUGUACACUCCAAUCAAUUCUUGAAGAUUGGGAGCUUAAAGAAGAAGAUGGGAGUUGUGUCAUAGCUGUGAGGGAUUAGACUUUUUGUAUUGAUUUAGUAGCCUUUUUAAUUUCUUAGACUUGUUGGAUUAAUUUGUUAGUUUGUAAUUAUUCCAAACUUGUGGGACUUAUUUUGUAACUUUUUAAUUUCUUGGACUUGUUGGAUUUGUUGAACUUGUGAUACUUAUUUCUUGGAUUUAUUUUAUUUUU